rnacentral:rRNA from 1 species
GAUGAACGCUGGCGGCGGGCUUAACACAUGCAAGUCGAACGGAAAGGCCCUGCUUUCGUGUGGUGCCCGAGGCGCAAAGGGGUGAGUAACACGUGAGUAUCCUGCCCAUGACUUUGGGAUAACUUCAGGCAACCGGGGAUAACACCGGAUACGAGCUGCAGCUGCAUGGUGGGGGUUGGACCGCUUAGGUGGUUGGGGAUGGACUUGCGGGUAAUCAGCUGGUUGGGUGAGUAGCGGCUUACGAAGGCAUCGAUGGCUAGGCGGCCUGGGAGGGUGAUCGGGCACAAUGGGACUGAGGGACGGCGCAGAGUCGUACGGUAGACAGCGGUGGGGAAUAUUGCACAAUGGGCGGAAGCGUGAUGCAGCAACGCUGCGAGCGGGAUGCCGGCCUUCUGGUUGGAAAGGGCAUUCGCCUGUGACGAUGCUGUAGUGACGGUAAUGGGUGAAGAAGCACCGGCUAACUACGUG